rnacentral:sRNA from 1 species
CCCCUUAUGUCUUGGGCUACACACGUGCUACAAUGGUCGGUACAAACAGUUGCGAUCUCGUAAGAGGGAGCUAAUCUGAAAAAGCCGAUCUCAGUUCGGAUUGAGGGCUGCAACUCGCCCUCAUGAAGCCGGAAUCGCUAGUAAUCGCAAAUCAGCAAUGUCGCGGUGAAUACGUUCUCGGGUCUUGUACACACCGCCCGUCACACCAUGAGAGUUGAUAAUACCAGAAGUCGGUAUUCUAACCGCAAGGAGGAAGCCGCCCAAGGUAGGAUUGAUGAUUAGGGUGAAGUCGUAACAAGGUAUCCGUACGAGAACGUGCGGAUGGAUCACCUCCUUUCUAUGGAGUUAAUACUUUAUAGUAAUUAACUAGUUUUAAUGACCGUUAUGUUUAGUUUUCAGAGAUUAGUUUCUCUGACAAUAACAAGUAAAUGUUAUUGGAAUUGUUCUUUGAAAACUGGAUAAUAGACAUCUAGUUAUUUUAAUCACAUGAUUAAAAUAACAAUAAUUCAAAAUUUCUGUUAUUUUUAAAAAAUAACUAAAAUUUCACAGUUAUAUUUGUAAAUGAUUCUCAAAAAACUGAUUUAAAAUCAGGUCAAAUAAUUUAUAAAACUUUGAAGUUACAAAGGGCGUAUGGUGAAUGCCUUGGGAAUAGGAGACGAUGAAGGACGUGACUACCUGCGAUAAGGUUCGGGGAGCUGGAAGUAAGCUUUGAUCCGGACAUGUCCGAAUGGGGAAACCCGGUGAGAUUAAUCUCUCAUCAUCCUAUAAUGAAUAAAUAGUUAUAGUGAAGGUAUACCUAGGGAAUUGAAACAUCUUAGUACCUAGAGGAAAAGAAAGCGAAUGCGAUUCUCUUAGUAGCGGCGAGCGAACGGGGAACAGCCCAAACCAGAUUUAUCUGGGGUUGUAGGACCAUAAUAGUAGAGUUACAAAACUUGUUUAUAGUAGAAAUGGUUGGGAAACCAUGCCGUAGAGGGUGAUAGCCCCGUAUACGAAAUAGACAAGACUCGAAAUGGAAUCCUGAGUACGGCGAGACACGUGAAAUCUUGUCGGAAUCAACGCGGACCACCGCGUAAGGCUAAAUACUACCUAUUCACCGAUAGUGAACCAGUACCGUGAGGGAAAGGUGAAAAGCACCCCGGGAGGGGAGUGAAAUAGUACCUGAAACCAUAUGCCUACAAGAAGUCGGAGCCCGUUAAUGGGUGACGGCGUGCCUUUUGUAGAAUGAGCCGGCGAGUUAUGAUAGCAUGCAAGGUUAAGUAGAAAAUACGGAGCCGUAGUGAAAGCGAGCCUUAAUAGGGCGUUUAGUAUGUUGUCAUAGACCCGAAACCAGGUGAUCUAGCCAUGAGCAGGUUGAAGUUGAGGUAAAACUUAAUGGAGGACCGAACCGACGUUCGUUGAAAAGACCGCGGAUGACUUGUGGCUAGGGGUGAAAUUCCAAUCGAACCUGGAGAUAG